rnacentral:rRNA from 18 species
CGCCCCAAGAAAAAAUAUUUUGGGUCCUGCCUGCCCGGUGACUUUUAGUUAAACGGCUGCAGUAUUACUGACUGUGCAAAGGUAGCAUAAUCAUUCGCCUGUUAAUUGCAGGCUUGUAUCAACGGCUAGACGAUAGGAAAGCUGUCUCCUUUUACUUCUUCUUAAAUUAGCUUUAAGGUGAAGAGACCUUAAUAAAAGAGCGGGACGAGAAGACCCUAUAGAGCUUUAUUUUUAAAGUUAAACAAAUUAACCUAAAAAUUUGGUUGGGGCAACUGCCUCUAUAAUUAAGACAGAGGCUAAACUUAAAAGAGUUGAUUAUUGCUGACCCAAAAGAAGUUUGAGAAAAAGAAAAAGUUACCUUAGGGAUAACAGCGUAAUUUUCUUUGAGAGUACUUAUUGACAAGAAAGCUUGCGACCUCGAUGUUGGAUCAGAAAAACCUGGAUGUGCAGCAGCCUCCAAAGGUUGGUUUGUUCAACCAUUAAAAUUCU